CUCAGAACGAACGCUGGCGGCAUGGAUUAGGCAUGCAAGUCGAACGAAGCAGCAAUGCUUAGUGGCGGAAGGGUGAGGAACGCGUGAGUAAUCUGCCCUCAAGUUGGGAAUAACAGCUGGAAACGGCUGCUAAUACCGAAUGUGGCUGCAAGACCGCAUGAUUUUGCAGUUAAAGAUUUAUUGCUUGAGGAUGAGCUCGCGUCCCAUUAGCUGGUUGGUGAGGCAACGGCUCACCAAGGCGAUGAUGGGUAGCUGGUCUGAGAGGAUGGUCGGCCACACUGGGACUGAGACACUGCCCAGACUCCUACGGGAGGCUGCAGUCGAGAAUCUUGGGCAAUGCGCGAAAGCGUGACCCAGCAAUGCCGCGUGCGCGACGAAGGUCUUCGGAUCGUAAAGCGCUGUCAACCGGGACGAAAAAUGACGGUACCGGUGGAGGAAGCCACGGCUAACUACGUGCCAGCCGCAGC
rnacentral:rRNA from 1 species